UCCGGGGGCAAGAGGUUCGACCCGAGCGAAGCGAGAGAACGUUGCGUCAGCAACGGCCCGCAGGGCGAGCCACGCAGUGGCGAGUCAUCCUCUAUCACCGACCA
rnacentral:sRNA from 3 species